rfam:Homo sapiens chromosome 2, GRCh38 reference primary assembly.
GCCAGGCAUGGUGGCGCAUGCCUGUAAUCCCAGCUACUCAGGGGGCUGAGGCAGGAGAAUUGCUUGAACCUGGGAGGCCGAGGUUGCAGUGAGCUGAGAUCACACCACUGCACUCUAGCCCAGGCAACAGAGUGAGACUCCAUCUCAA